AUACGUAGGUGGCGAGCGUUGUCCGGAAUUAUUGGGCGUAAAGGAUGCGUAGGUGGAUAUUUAAGUGGGGUGUGAAAUCCCCGGGCUCAACCCGGGAACUGCAUUCCAUACUGGAUAUCUAGAGUGCAGGAGAGGAAAGCGGAAUUCCUAGUGUAGCGGUGAAAUGCGUAGAUAUUAGGAGGAACACCAGUGGCGAAGGCGGCUUUCUGGACUGUAACUGACACUGAGGCAUAGAAAGCGUGGGUAGC
rnacentral:rRNA from 1 species